GUUUUCAGCGAGUUCAGUGUGUCCACCAGAAAACUGGAUGUUCAGGAAGAAAGCACGAUCCAAACCCUGUGCAUUGACAUCCUGCAAUGUCUGGACACCUCAGUCCAUGGAAUGACCCAAGUGUUAUGGCCAAGGCUUCUGGAGUAUGUGGUGCCAGCUCAGUACACUGGUACUUUGAAGCCUCUCUGCAGAUGCCUUAGGGAACUGGCUGAGAAAAAGCAGCAGGAAGGAGAAGC